CAAAGGUGAGCCAGUACAGGAUGGACCCGCGUCUGAUUAGCUAGUUGGUAAGGUAACGGCUUACCAAGGCGACGAUCAGUAGCCGACCUGAGAGGGUGAUCGGCCACAUUGGAACUGAGACACGGUCCAAACUCCUACGGGAGGCAGCAGUGGGGAAUAUUGCACAAUGGGCGAAAGCCUGAUGCAGCAACGCCGCGUGAGUGAUGAAGGCCUUCGGGUCGUAAAACUCUGUCCUCAAGGAAGAUAAUGACGGUACUUGAGGAGGAAGCCCCGGCUAACUACGUGCCAGCAGCCGCGGUAAUACGUAGGGGGCUAGCGUUAUCCGGAUUUACUGGGCGUAAAGGGUGCGUAGGCGGUCUUUCAAGUCAGGAGUGAAAGGCUACGGCUCAACCGUAGUAAGCUCUUGAAACUGGGAGACUUGAGUGCAGGAGAGGAGAGUGGAAUUCCUAGUGUAGCGGUGAAAUGCGUAGAUAUUAGGAGGAACACCAGUUGCGAAGGCGGCUCUCUGGACUGUAACUGACGCUGAGGCACGAAAGCGUGGGGAGCAAACAGGAUUAGAUACCCUGGUAGUCCACGCUGUA
rnacentral:rRNA from 1 species